rnacentral:lncRNA from 1 species
CCGUUGCUGAGUUGGUGGUUCUCUAACUUUGCCAGGUGCAGUUCUCAGUGGUGGCAGGGGGCUGGUGGGAAGGGAGGGGGAGGGGAUUGUGAAGGGUCGGGCUGUGACCCCCUCGACCAGAGCUGGGCAGUGGGUUGGGUUCUGGGCUGCCCCCAGACACCAGGCUGGUUCACCAGGAAGGGAUCACUUUUCUUCCCGGGAUAAGGACCAACGGCUGUCCCGGGGGGGCUGUCCCCAGGGCGAGUGGAAGGCAGGUGGGACCACCCAGCGCAGGUACAGGAAGGAAGCGGUGGGAGGCCCGGCUCUGUGGCCAGGCGGCUACUUCUGCAGCCUGCUCUCUGGGGCGCAGAGGCGGUCUGGAACACGGAGACGAGCUUCAAACGCAACCGUCCUCUCUUACACUCUCCGAGGGAAGCUCGGCUCGGGGCUUGCCAGGGCUGGGGCCAGACCGGAAAUGGGAUCGGUGACCGAGGGCCCUGGGCUCCUGGUGUUCCUGCCGCCUCGGCCAGCUCCUCUGCCCGCCGCCAGCCCUCCCUCCUCCCCUGCGGAUGUUCUCAGGCUUCCCGCCACUAGCGCGCUGCCUCCCCAGCCCUGCGCGCUUCUCCAUCUGACGUCCUCCUCCAGGAAGCCUGCCCAACCGCCCUCCUGCCUGCACACCAUUGCUCCUCUAGGUGUGCUGGGCCAUUGCUGUGUUUGCUUCCAGGUUGUUUGGAAGUUACUUAUCCGUUUCUCGUUUUCUAUCGUGAGUUCUCUGUGUCAGACCCCACCCCUUCUUGAAGGCAGUGACCUGUUCCCACCCCAAACUGGGGGCUCCCCAACGAUGAGGGUCUGUGGAAAUGGAACCCCUUCUGCUUCCCACCCCAUCCCCACCCUAAGUCUAGGGAGCAGACCCACUUGCUCAGCCACCUGCCACUGCCCCUGUCCACACUGCCCUGUACCCACCCACCACCUGCCUCUGUCCCUACUCUGCCCUUGGGCCAAGGGGAUUCCAGGUCCUGCUGCCUUCAGAGGGCAGGGCCUGUGGGCACAUGGCAGCUGUGGGCCAGGCCCCUGACCCCAGGCUACCACAGGCCAACCUUCAGACACCUCUGAGGGGUUUUCCCUCACUUUUGCAGCCCAGGUGCUGUCGGGGAGCUGCGAUGCUGUCUCCAGCUUCCUCUGAACCAAGAG